rnacentral:misc_RNA from 1 species
GAUUUUGACACGGCAGCGGGCGGCGAAGAGAGACUUACCCGCGAGGCGGUCGAGAUCGGCGCGGCCGAGGUGGAACCCGGCGGCGAGUGGGGGUGUCGGCGGCGGCUGAUCGGUGUCGGGAGGGAGGAGGGGGACGACGGCGGUCUGGUAGGGGAGCUUGUUGAGGCGGAUCUUGCAGAAGCAAGGGGAGGAGGAGGGGUGGACGCCGGCGCGAGCGGGGCGGGAGGCGACCGGGAUCUUGAGGGCGAGGUUGCCGACGAGGAUGCGGACGAAGGGGCAGGGAUCCAUGGGGGCGAGCUAGGGUUUGAAUUGAGUCAAUGGGGGAGAUAUUGGGAGUUGGGAUUUAAGAGAUUGGAACUGAAGGCACAGGCUGGCAUUGGAUUAGCUGGGG